GGAGAAAUGAAAACAGGUCAUGCGUGAUGAGCGGAGCGCAGAGAACGGGACACGAGAAGGCACUCAGAUUGGGAGCGUUUCUGCAGGCACGCGUGCGCUGUGUGAGAUCGACUUGGAGGAAUCAUUUUCCAGACUCGGGAAGGAACUCACGGCCGGCAUCAAUCUGAUCCUGAUGUGUGGAUGUUAAAAUGACCCUCCCAGGAGGUCUCUUCUGUUGUGUUUCUCUCUCUAAACUACAAAAGAAAAGUACACUUUAUCAAUAGCAUAUCUAGUCCUUUUUUGUUGUCUAUUGAAUAAUGAAAAAUGUCUUUUUCUCCUUCUCCUUUGUUCUGCUUGUCGAGAUAUUCUGCCUGUAUUGUUCCGUGACAAUGUGAUUUAUAAUGGAAAUGACUAGAUAAUUAUGCUACUUGUCAAAGGUAUGUCUCUGUCCCAGCGAGCUGCAGCUUGCUUCUGUUGGAUUUGCGAAAAGUUUGGAAAUAAUUGUACCCAAUUGCUUUGUGCUAUUAAAUUGACAAUGUAAUCAA